GACGAACGCUGGCGGCGUGCCUAAUACAUGCAAGUUGAGCGCUGAAGGUUGGUACUUGUACCGACUGGAUGAGCAGCGAACGGGUGAGUAACGCGUGGGGAAUCUGCCUUUGAGCGGGGGACAACAUUUGGAAACGAAUGCUAAUACCGCAUAAAAACUUUAAACACAAGUUUUAAGUUUGAAAGAUGCAAUUGCAUCACUCAAAGAUGAUCCCGCGUUGUAUUAGCUAGUUGGUGAGGUAAAGGCUCACCAAGGCGAUGAUACAUAGCCGACCUGAGAGGGUGAUCGGCCACAUUGGGACGGAGACACGGCCCAAACUCCUACGGGAGGCAGCAGUAGGGAAUCGUCGGCAAUGGACGAAAGUCUGACCGAGCAACGCCGCGGGAGGGAAGAAGGUUUUCGGAUCGUAAAACUCUGUUGGUAGAGAAGAACGUUGGUGAGAGUGGAAAGCUCAUCAAGUGACGGUAACUACCCAGAAAGGGACGGCUAACUACGUG
rnacentral:rRNA from 1 species